GCGGCGCCUUCCGAGUUCCCUGGAACGGGACGCCUUAGAGGGUGAGAGCCCCGUACGGUUGGCGGCCAAGCCUCUGUAAAGCUCCUUCGACGAGUCGAGUAGUUUGGGAAUGCUGCUCUAAAUGGGAGGUAAAUUUCUUCUAAAGCUAAAUAUUGGCCAGAGACCGAUAGCGCACAAGUAGAGUGAUCGAAAGAUGAAAAGCACUUUGAAAAGAGGGUUAAACAGCACGUGAAAUUGUUGAAAGGGAAGCGUUUGCGACCAGACUUCUUCCUGGCGGAUCAUCCGGCCAUCCUGGCCGGUGCACUUCGCCAGGUCGAGGCCAGCAUCGGUUUCCCGCGGGGGGACAAAAGCUCAGGGAACGUAGCUCCUCCGGGAGUGUUAUAGCCCUUUGCACAAUGCC
rnacentral:rRNA from 1 species